rnacentral:rRNA from 1 species
AGCUAAUACUUGCUUUAGCACUCUUGAUUUAUUUCUUGAGUGUGUACUUGUUAAGCCUUAUAAGAAAAGAGUUAUUAACUUAAGGAAUUAUAACAAAGAAGUAACACGUAAUGGAUCAUUCCAUUUUUAGUGUGUAUCAAUCGAGUUUCUGACCUAUCAGCUUUUGAUGUUAGGGUAUUGGCCUAACAUGGCUAUGACGGGUAACGGGGAAUUAGAGUUCGAUUCCGGAGAGGGAGCCUGAGAAAUAGCUACCACAUCUAAGGAAGGCAGCAGGCGCGUAAAUUACCCAAUUCUAAAGAAGAGAGGUAGUGACAAGAAAUAACAAUACAAGGCCAAUCUGGCUUUGUAAUUGGAAUGAUGGGAAUUUAAAACCUUCCCAAAAUUCAAUUGGAGGGCAAGUCUGGUGUCAGCAGCCGCGGUAAUUCCAGCUCCAAUAGCGUAUAUUAAAAUUGUUGCAGUUAAAACGCUCGUAGUUGAAUUUCAAAGAAUCGAUAUUUUAAGUAACGCUUCUAGCUACAAAUCCACAUAACUGAUGCCUCCGCGUAUCGACUUUGUGCGCAUUUUAGCUAUUAUGUGUUCUUUUAAUUAAAAUGAUUCUUUUUAAGAUUCAUCUAUUAAAAAUUUGCUUCGGCAUAAUUUUUUUUGAUGAUCUUGUUACUUUGAGUAAAUUAGAGUGUUCAAAGCAAACAGAUAUAGCAUUUGUGCGUUUGAAUACUACAGCAUGGAAUAACAAAAUUGAACAAGUCAGAAUUUUUUUGUUCUUUUUUCUUAUUUUGGCUUAGUUACGAUUAAUAGGAGUAGCUUGGGGGCAUUUGUAUUCAGAUGUCAGAGGUGAAAUUCUUAGAUUUUCUGGAGACAAACAACUGCGAAAGCAUUUGCCUAAAAUACUUCCAUUAAUCAAGAACGAAGGUUAAGGGAGUGAAGACGAUCAGAUACCGUCGUAAUCUUAACCAUAAACUAUGCCGACUAGGCUUUGGAUGAAAGAUUUUAAAAUAAGAGUUUU